AUCCCAUCCAUCAACUUUCCUUCUCCCAUGUUUGGAUAUGUAUGUAGGCCACUGGAAAAGGAUCUUCCUUACAGCCAGCUAACCAGGGUUAAGAGAAUUACUUCAGAAGAAGCAGACUAUAGUUCGCAGUUAUGUGAGAUGGCAAAGAGAUUCUGCACAUGAGGAUGUGAGACCAAUAAAGUGAACUUAGCAGUGGAAAGGAUAAAAAGGUGUCAAUGAAAACCAUUGUACAAGCAGAGGAGAACUUGGCCCGCUAUAUCCUACAGGUCUGAAGAGUGGUGC